rnacentral:tRNA from 1 species
UAGUGUAGUGGUUAACAUGUCUGCUUUACUCGCAGAAGGUCCUGGGUUCGUGCCCCAG